CAAAUUUGAUUGUCACAACAACCCUGUGAGAGGCAAUGAAAUGAUGCAGGGGACAGAGAGCAGUACCCAGAGUCAGGAAGAUCUGAGUUCAAGAUGGCUUUGAAUACUAGAGACUGUGUGGUCUUGUGUUUCUUUCAGAGGUGGUCAUCUGGCAAGUCUCCAUCAGUCAGAACUAUUCUCAAUGAACACAGGCUAGUGGAGUCUCAACUUCAAGGAACACAGGAACCUGUCCCAGUCUUGACCUAGGAGUAGGCUGAUGGCUAUGGCUUCUAUGACUAUGGACAUUCCUAAUUUGUUUAUUGCAUAAUUUAAUUGGUGGUUCAUUGCAUAAGCUACUGAUGAAGUUGUUAUUUUUUUUAUUGGUGGUCCAUCCUAUCAGAGGGUUCACAUAUGUUUAUCAGUAUGUGUUGUUUAUUACCUCACGCAACAUAAGUGCUUAUCUUUGCAACUUACUCAAAACAAUUCAUUCAUAAAAUGGAAGCUUAAAACAAAAUGUAGCCAUUUAUGCUAAGUUGACAAACUCAUUUCUACUCUCUUACUAAGGUAAUAAAACUUAUUCUCACCAUGAGUGUAAAAACUAAGUCUGGCACCAAUAUGGUGAGCCUGGAGGAGCAGGGACAACUAGGAUGCCAAAGGAAAAGCAAACCAAUCCAGGUUGGAAAUAGAGCCAGUGGAAGUGUCCAAGCUAAUCCAUGGUGUGAUUGGCCUAUGAAUUGCCUCCUGGGUGAAUGAGUGAGGCCUAGUGUUCAAAACAAAACAAAGUAACAAUAAAUUGAGAGAGGGUAGGGUUAUGAAUUGGAGGGUUAAACAUAAAGGAAGAAUAUGACAGAGAAGAUAAGGAAGAAAAAGACCUCUGACUAUUUGGAGAUAUAGAAAAGGAACAUGAUUCUUCCUGCAGAGGAUCUAUCUGGACUUUCUAAAGAAGAAACAGAUUGUUAUGUUUUCUUGGAGGUAAUCUUAUCAUACUAUUGAGGGAAAUGAUUCUUUAUUGUAUUUAGAAAUUAAUUACUGCAUUAAGACCAAGGUUUUCCAACUUUUCCACUUUUUCAUCCAGAAAUCAACCAGUGUAGGAAAUCUUGCCAGAAGACUUACCCAGCUAGGAAAGCUAAGAUAUGAUUAAAGACAGUAAAGAAAUUCUAAGUUUAAGUGAAUGGAUGGAUUCCUGCUCAUUGUGUUUACUCAGACAGGUCUGGGAAAAUAUGGAUUCUCACUUUUGUCAGACUGGUGAUAUGGAAAUGCAUGUCUCUUUGACCAAGAUUUGGGUGCUCAGUGGUACCUCAAAACCAUCAUUGGAAUAAUCCCACCUCUCAUUAUAAUAUUCAUUCUUUCAUUAAUUGUUAACAAAUCAGAAUUGAUUGCCGCCUUAGGAACACCCAUUCUUCCAAGGGUAAAUAAACUGUGAGCCCACCACCAUGAUUUGUAUUUGACAUUUGAGAGUGUCACU